rnacentral:rRNA from 1 species
UAGAGUUUGAUCAUGGCUCAGAACGAACGCUGGCGGCAGGCUUAACACAUGCAAGUCGAACGCGUGUAGCAAUACACGAGUGGCGCACGGGUGAGUAACACGUGGAUAUCUGCCUUUUGGUUCGGAAUAACUCAGGGAAACUUGAGCUAAUACCGGAUAAGCCCUUACGGGGAAAGAUUUAUCGCCAAUAAAUCAGCCCGCGUCCGAUUAGCUAGUUGGUGGGGUAAAGGCCCACCAAGGCGACGAUCGGUAGCUGUUCUGAGAGGAAGAUCAGCCACACUGGGACUGAGACACGGCCCAGACUCCUACGGGAGGCAGCAGCAAGGAAUUUUCCGCAAUGGGGGCAACCCUGACGGAGCAACGCCGCGUGACGGAUGACGCCUCUUGGGGUGUAAACGUCUUUUGCCGGGGGAGAGAACGGACGGUACCCGGCGAAUCAGGACCGGCUAACUACGUGCCAGCAGCCGCGGUAAUCAUCGC